rnacentral:lncRNA from 1 species
UUCAACAGCAGUCAAAUAAGAAAUGAUUCAUACAACAACAGUCAACUCCCUGUUCAACAGCAGUCAAAUAAGAAAUGAUUCAUACAACAACAGUCAACUCCCUGUUUAACAGCAGUCAAAUAAGAAAUGAUUCAUAUCACUGCAGUCAAUUCCUGUUCAACAGGAGUCAAAUAAGAAAUGAUUUAUACAGUAACAGUCAACUCCCUGUUCAAAAGCAGUCAAGUAAGAAAUGAUUCAUACAGAAACAGUCAACUCCCUGUUCAAAAGCAGUCAAGUAAGAAAUGAUUCAUACAACAACAGUCAACUCCCUGUUUAACAGCAGUCAAAUAAGAAAUGAUUCAUAUCACUGCAGUCAAUCCCUGUUCAACAGGAGCCAAAUAAGAAAUGAUUCAUACAACAAGCAUCAAUUCCCUGUUCAACAGCAGUCAAACAAGAAAUGAUUCAUACGACUACAGUCAAUUCCCUAUUCAACAGCAGUCAAAUAAGAAAUUAUUCUUAUGACUACAGUCAACUCUUUGUUUAACAGCAAUCAAAUAAGAAACAACUCAUAACACUGUAGUGAAACAAGAAAUGAUUCAUAUGACUACAGUCAAUUCCCUGUUCAACAGCAGUCAAACAACAAAAUGAUUCAUACAACAACAGUCAAUUCCCUGUUCAACAGCAGUCAAACAAGAAAUGGUUCAUACGAUUACAGUCAAUUCCCUGUUCAACAGCAGUCAAACAAGAAAUGGUUCAUACGUCUACAGUCAACUCCCUGUUCAAUAGCAGUCAAAUAAAAAAUGAUUCAUACGACUACAGUGAAUUCCCUGUUCAACAGCAGUCAAACAAGAAAUGGUUCAUACGUCUACAGUCAACUCCCUGUUCAAUAGCAGACAAAUAAAAAAUGAUUCAUAUGACUACAGUCAAUUCCCUGUUCAACAGCAGUCAAAUAUGAAAUGAUUUAUAUGACUACAGUCAACUCUCUGUUUAACAGCAGUCAAACAAGAAAUGGUUCAUAUGUCUACAGUCAACUCCCUGUUCAAUAGCAGACAAAUAAAAAAUGAUUCAUACGACUACAGUCAAUUCCCUGUUCAACAGCAGUCAAAUAUGAAAUGAUUUAUAUGACUACAGUCAAUUCCCUGUUCAACAGCAGUCAAAUAUGAAAUGAUUCAUAUGACUACAGUCAAUUCCCUGUUCAACACCAGUCAAAUAUGAAAUGAUUUAUAUGACUACAGUCAAUUCCCUAUUCAACAGCAGUCAAAUAUGAAAUGAUUUAUAUGACUACAGUCAACUCCCUGUUCAACAGCAGCCAAAUAAAAAAUGAUUCAUACGACUACAGUCAAUUCCCUGUUCAACAGCAGUCAAAUAUGAAAUGGUUCAUACGACUACAGUCAAUUCCCUGUUCAACAGCAGUCAAAUAUGAAAUGGUUCAUACGACUACAGUCAACUCCCUGUUCAACAGCAGUCCAACAACAAAAUAAUUCAUAUGACUACAGUCAACUCUGUUUAACAGCAGUCAAAUAAGAAACAACUCAUAACACUGUAAUCAAUCCCUGUUCAAGAGCAGUCAAACAAGAAAUGAGUCAUAUAACUACAGUCAAUUCCCUGUUCAAUAGCAGUCAAAUAAGAAAUGAUUCAUACCUCUGCAAUCAACUUCCUAUUAAUAAUAGUCAAAUAAGAAAUGAUUCAUAUGACUACAGGCAACUUUCUGUCAAAUAAUUAUGUUUGUGGUAUUAUAGAAAUGAUCCAACUUAUUUUAUUUUAUUAAAACUAUGUCAUCAGUAAAAUAUAUUGUAUCUUCCACACUACAUCAGCUCAGGAGGUCCACAUGAAGACUUUCUGAACCCUUACAGUUUUUUAGCUUAUUGUAAACUUGCAUUGGAAAAAGAAUUAUGCUCAUCAGUGCAAUAAUCAUUUCAUUGUGAGGAUCAAACAAGAGAUUAACUACAGGUUACAGUUUUUAUGUUAUCCACAAAAAUAGUUAUCUUAAUAAGGUCAAAGUCAGCAUUCAAAUAACAUAGUUAAUGUUACAAAAGUGAUUAAUUCUUUGCCAUCAGUGUACAAAUAAAAUGAUGUACACCACUUACCAAGAGAUUGAUCCAUGUAAAAUAAUUUUCUUGUUGGCAGUCAAGUAAGAAACAACUUUCAUUACUUUGGUAAAUAAGCUCUACGUGAAGUUCACACCACUUUCAGCAGUAAAGACACGGCUUAGGGUCCAGAUUGCCCAGUGUUGACAGUACGUCGUUUACAGCAUCAUACCACUGUCAGCAGUAAAGACACAGCUUAAGGUCCUGAUUGCCCAGUGUUGACAGUACGUCAUUUACAGCAUCAUACCACUGUCAGCAGUAAAGACACAGCUUAGGGUCCUGAUUGCCCAGUGUUGACAGUACGUCAUUUACAGCAUCAUACCACUUUCAGCAGUAUAGACACGGCUUAGGGUCCAGAUUGCCCAGUGUUGACAGUUCGUCAUUUACAGCAUCAUACCACUUUCAGCAGUAUAGACACGGCUUAGGGUCCAGAUUGCCCAGUGUUGACAGUUCGUCAUUUACAGCAUCAUACCACUGUCAGCAGUAAAGACACAGCUUAGGGUCCUGAUUGCCCAGUGUUGACAGUUCGUCAUUUACAGCAUCAUACCACUGUCAGCAGUAAAGACACAGCUUAGGGUCCAGAUUGCCCAGUAUUGACAGUACAUCAAUUACAGCAUCAUGCCACUGUCAGCAGUAAAGACACAGUUUAGGGUCCUGGUUGCCCAGUGUUGAAAGUAUGUCAUUUACAGCAUCACAUCACUUUCAGCAGUAAAGACACAGCUUUGGGUCCAGAUUGCCCAGUGUUGACAAGUAAAUAAGACAUCGUUUAUAGCAUUGAACUUGAUAAGCUGAACACCUGCAGUUGGAUAGUAACUCAGCUCCAAACAAAUUGAAAAAAAAAGAUUAGCAAAUUCAGUAAUUCAUGUUUUUGUAAGCAGUUAUAGGAGAAGAAAUCUAAUCCACUGUAGUCCAUCAAAUCCAAUCAGCUUCUGUGAAACAGGUGUCAAAUAAGUGAAGAUCAAAGUUGCUGCAGUAUGAGAGCUGUGUUAUUAAAACCAGUAAAUGUAUAUAUUAUAAGCUCUCCUACAGGUCAUCAGGUGUGGGUUAAUAAUCACAAAGCAAGUUGACUAAACCACCACCACCAGCUUAUUGAACCCAGGAUAUCAACAAAAUGUAAAUUAUCUAUACCACUGUUAUUUGUCAGUUGAGCAUCAUAUGUUGAAUAAAAAAAAAAUUACCAUUCUGACUGAUGAGAACUUGAUCAACAGUGAAAUAAAAAUCUGAACAGUUAAUCAGCUCGAAGUCAACAUUAAUAAAUGUGAACCUUACCACUAAGUAACUGACCAUCAUCUUACCAGUAUUCUAGAAAGGUUUUAACAUGACUGAAACAGGUUUAUAAAAUACAUGUUGAUAGUCAAAAAUUAAAUUACUUGUACCAUUAUGGUUAGACAAACACUUCAUAGGACCAGUUGAAAAAGGAAAUGAUUUAAACCCCUUGAGUUGAUGAGCUUCGGUUUACCAAGAAAUACUGACCUCACUGCUUCUAGUGGAUGAUCAAUACCACUGCAGUUGAUAAGUUCUUUCUCUUUAACAGAAAAUGAAAUGAUACUGUUUGAACAACUCGGGUCUCUGUUGUCAGUCAAGUAGGAUAUUAUCUUCAGCAGAUAAAUCAGGUGUUAUUAACAUCAAUCUUUGAAUAGCUCAGAUUCCUGUUGUUCAUCAGGUAGCAUCAGAUGUUAUUAACACCAAUCUUUGAACAGCUCAGAUUCCUGUUGUCCAUCAAGCAGGAAUUAUCUUCAGCAGGAUCAGGUGUUAUUAACACCAACCUUUGAAUGGCUCAGAUUCCUGUUGUCCACCAAGCACUAAUACACUAAUACAGUUGAUUAGUUCCAUGUCAGCAGCAAAGAAAGAAAUCAUCCAGACUACUGUAGGUGAUUAUAUCAUCCUAGUAGUCCAUCCACACCAUCAGUUCCAUGAUGGCUGUGAGGUAGUAAAUUAUUCGCACUAAUACAGUUGAUUAGUUCCAUGUCAGCAGCAAAGAAAGAAAUCAUCCAGACUUCUGUAGGUGAUUAUAUCAUCCUAGUAGCUCACCCACACCAUCAGUUCCAUGAUGGCUGUGAGGUAGUAAAUUACUCGCACUAAUACAGUUGAUUAGUUCCAUGUCAGCAGCAAAGAAAGAAAUCAUCCAGACUACUGUAGGUGAUUAUAUCAUCCUAGUAGCUCAUCCACACCACCAGUUCUAUGAUGGCUGUGAGAUAGUAAGUUACUCACACUAAUACAGUUAAUAGUUCCUUGUCAGCGGCAAAGAAAGAAAUCGUCCAGACUACUGUAGGUGAUUAUAUCAUCCCAGCAACUCACCCACACCACCAGUUCUAUGAUGGCUGUGAGAUAGUAAGUUACUCACACUAAUACAGUUAAUAGUUCCUUGUCAGCAGCAAAGAAAGAAAUCAUCCAGACUACUGUAGGUGAUUAUAUCAUCCCAGCAACUCACCUACACCACCAGUUUCAUGACAGCUGUGAGGUAGUAAGUUACUCACAGUUGAUCAAUUCCAUGUCAAAAGUUAAAAAUGACAUAUGAUGCACAUCAAUUUAGUGGAUCAAGUUGAUGACAGUAGUCAAAAAAGAAAUUAUUCUAACAAUGAGUGGUUUUAACUGCUCCAUUGUAGCUAUGAAAUUUGAGUGUCUUACUGUACCGUAUUGACCUACACCAAUAACUGGUGAAGAUCUCCCAUACUAGUGUUGGUCAUCUGCAUGAAUAAAACAAUUUUGUGAAUCAGUCGAUACAUUUUUUAACUUAAAAUAUGUCUUCUCAUCUCACUUAGUUCAUGAGAAGGGAUGCUUAAACUUAUGGUUUCUUGGAAGCUUGAUUCAGUGCAGCAAACACUUCUUUUUUCCCUGGUCAUGAAAAUUAACUUCUUAAAGAGGUCAUUUUGGAAGAAGGGAUCACCAAAUGAUUUGCUGAUUUCGUAAAGCUGUAUUCUCUUUGUUACCAACAAAAACAAUUGCGUGAGACACCUGAAGAGUCUUAGGUAUAUCAUGAUUACAUUUAAAUGAAGAAAAAAUACAAAAGCUCUUCUUAUGAUCAGCAUUAACUGAAGAGCAACAUGGUAUCAAAUAAAUGCUAAAGACCCCAAGGCUUCAGCUAUUACAUAUGGUCAUGAAUGAUUUAUCUGUGACUGCACAAUGAAUGUCUCUCUCUCUCUCUCUCCUUACUUUUCUGUUUUGUUACAAAAACAAAACAAUUUGAGAGUUUACAGCAGCUAAAAAAAACUCAGUUCUUAUUGUGCUGGAUAUCAAGCACAGCCAGUUUAGAUACAAAGCUUAACAAACUUCUGAUGACAUUGAAAUACUAUAGCAUACUGAAAUGCACAUUGGAGUGAAUUAUGCCAAUUCUUCACUACUGAAAUCGAGAUUUUUAUGAUAAUGUACAAAUUUCAAGUUUCUUCAUAUCCCAUAAUCAAGUUAUAUGCUUAUCUCUUCCAGGAAGUUUGUUAAACACAGAAAAACUUUGUACCAGCCUGUGACAUUGUUGUUUAUAACAUUAUGAUUCAAGAUUAACCAGAAACUAGAAAUAUAUGAUACUUAAAAUUCUACAUUACGAUUUGUGAAUGCUGUUCCCAGAUUGACAGAGACUAGAUUUUACUGUGUGAAUUCUAGGCACUAUUUUGCUUUCCUGCAUACCAGUAACUAAAAAACAAGUAUCAUCAUUUCUGAUUUAGUAUUUCCUGUCUAUAAAUUAGUUACUACAAUUUCUAUCAAGGCCUUCAAAAUCAGUUUAUGUCUUCUUAGAUAGUGCUUCUAAGAAAAGUUGCAAACAUCAUAUUUUCAUUUAUACUUAAACUCAAUUAAUACAUUGAGAUCCAGUUCUCCAGAAGACUUCUUAUACACUUAACAUGAACUAGUGAACAGCCGUACUUUUGUGUCCGUGAAGUGAGCAUGUGAAAUGAACAACAGACUGGUGUGACAAUGACUGAAGAACAAAAAGAUAUUGUCCAACUACUGAAAACUAACUUCUCUGUUAAUUCACAGUGUUUCUUCGACAAAGGAUCUGCUGUGGAUUAGAUAGUUUCAAAAUUUGGAGAGCCUGGAAAAUAGUAAAUCUGGAGCCCUACUCAUCAGAAGUAAAAAUAGACUCUUCAGUCAAUAUCAGAGAACUGAAAUUGAUCACUUACAAUAAUUAGACAUCUGGUUACAACAGUUUGAGACAUCCUGUUUAACACUAAGGUUAGACUGUGUUAUUUUUUGGUAAAUAAUUGAACUUCUGAGUAGAUCUCUCAGUCCUAAUUGUAGGUUAUACAGCUUUAGUGUGUAUCUGUAAGAGACAGAAAUGAAGAAAGUUCAUAUCAAACAAAUAUGGAGCUAGUCUGCUAUGAUAUUUAACAUUCAUUACUAGUGUAAUGGAAUGAUUAAACAGUUUCUCUGCUAUAAGAGAAAAACAUUAAGUCAAAAUAUAUGAAAUAUAUUGUGAAAAAAAAAUUCUAGUAAUUUAGUCACUACUAAAACUGAUGUAUUUUCAUGAAUAGCAGUGAUGGACAUCAAAAUUUGUGUUUGUUGUCUUACUUUACCAAGCAGUGAAGAUAAGUACAGAAGUUACUGCUGCUAUUGAGUUUUUACAAUAAGCUAUAGUGAUUAAAACCACCAUAAAAUUGAACUAGUUGUGUACUGCAAUCCUCAAGCUGAAGAGAUCAACACUCAAGUGGCCUGAGUCUACUUUUUACAAUAAGCUAUAAUGAUUAAAACCACCAUAAAAUAGUCUUAGCUGUCUGUAUAUGUUCAAUCUCAAGCUGAAGUGAUGAAUGCUCAAGUGACCUGAGUUUACUUUCUACAACAAGCUACAGUGACUACAACCACCAUAAAAUAGUCUUAGCUGUGUAUUUCCAUCACUAAGCUGAGAUCAGUACUCAAGUGAUCUGAGUUUACUUUCUACAACAAGCUACAGUGACUACAACCACCAUAAAAUAGUCUUAGCUGUGUAUUUCCAUCACUAAGCUGAGAUCAGUACUCAAGUGAUCUGAGUCUACUUUCUACAACAAGCUACAGUGACUACAAGUACCAUAAAAUAGUCUUAGCUGUGUAUUUCCAUCUCUAAGCUGAGAUCAGUACUCGAGUGAUCUGAAUCUACUUUAUACAAGCUACAGUGACUACAACCACCAUAAAAUAGUCUUAGCUGUGUAUUUCCAUCUCUAAGCUGAGAUCAGUACUCAAGUGACCCGAGUUUACUUUCUACAACAAGCUACAGUGACUACAACCACCAUAAAAUAGUCUUAGCUGUGUAUUUCCUUCCUUAAGCUGAGAAGAUCAAUACUCAAGUGAUCUGAGUUUACUUUCUACAACAAGCUACAGUGACUACAACCACCAUAAAAUAGUAUUAGCUGUAUAUUUCCUUCCUUAAGCUGAGAAGAUCAGGACUCAAGUGACGUGAGUCUACUUUCUACAACAAGCUACAGUGACCACAACCACCAUAACAUAGUCUUAGCUGUGUAUUUCCAUCCUUAAACUGACAUCAAUACUCAAGUGACCCGAGUUUACUUUCUACAAGCGACCACAUAACAUAGUCUUAGCUGUGUAUUUCCGCUGAGAAGAUCAGGACUCAAGUGAGUGAGUCUACUUUCUACAACAAGCUACAGUGACCACAACCACCAUAACAUAGUCUUAGCUGUGUAUUUCCAUCCUUAAACUGACAUCAGUACUCAAGUGACCUGAUUCUACUUUCUACAACAAGCAAUAGUGACUACAAUAACUACAAAUGUCUGAACUAUGUACGUUCAACCUCAAGCUGAAGAGAUCAACACAAAAUAACAUCUUUGCUGUUCACUUUAUAUAUAUAAAACAAUAACUACAACCAGAGAUUACACAAAAUAAUUUUGGUUGACUCUCAUUCCAGAAAUGAAGUGAUCUGAACAUAUUAAUGCCUUUGCUAUUGUAUUUUUAAAACAAACUACAGUACUUAGAAAUAUGAUAAUCUUGGCUGUUGACUUUCUGAAACAAGCUUUAAUGACAACCACAAAAAAAAACUCAUCCCAGCUGACACAAAAUCGAGCAGUAGUGAUCAACAUUAAAGAAAACCUUUGAGGUUGAUCUCCUACACCAAAGUUAUGAUCAUUAUAAAGUAGUCUCUUCUCUGUCCAGCAGAAAUUGUUACUACAAAGUACUUUUGGUACUGACUCGUUUUUUUUUUCCCCCAAACUGAAGGACACCAUAGGAAAAUCAACAAUGCAAUUGGCUUUUUAUUGUGAUCACCAUAAGGUAUCUGUUUUGGCUGUUAGCACCAAAUAAUACACAUCAUCAUAAAAAAAAAGGAUCUUCACUGUCUGCUUUUGACACCAAAGUGUAUUAAUGCAACAUAAAAACUGGCACUGUGGACUUUAUUAACAUGCUUAGUGAUUUGUUCAAGAUGUUUUUAUUGUUCAUUUCCUAUACUGUGAGGAAGUGACAGCAUAACUGUGUUAGUAUUCUCAACCAGGCUUUACUUACUCAAAAUAUAUUGUUGACUUAAUAUGUUACCAUACCAAAAAAUCAUUAUUGCUGUUGACUCUUCACAUAAAGCAUUUAUAGUCACCACAAAAUAACUUCAGUGACUCCAAGCUAAACAGUAAUCACACUUAACUGCAUUUGUAUAAGGUUAUUUUUAAUAAUGUACCAUUUUGAAAUUACAUGUUGUUUUGGCAUUAUAUAGUACAUGAAAGUUAUUGAGUGUCAGUUCACAGGAAUAUCACUCAACGUUUCAUUCCAUUUUUGUUUAGUGAUGAAUAUAAAACUGACAAUGUAAAGUUUCUUAGUUUGUGAUUUUGAAAAUAUGGAAAUUAUCAUCUCUGUGCAAGAAAUACAGAAGCAACAUUUUGUUAUUCAUUUACUAUUAGUUAAUCCUUGAUUUAUUUCAAGCUACCAGGUAGAUAUUGUUUUUUAAAGAAGGUUAACAUUGAUAACCUCCAAUUUUUCUAUGUUAAUGAUUUUUUCUUCUAAUUACUGGAUAUAUUAAAGGUGUCUGUCUUUAUUCAUUGGAUAGUUUAUCAAAGCUUGGUAAUUACUAAAUAUCACCUUUUGUUCAUUUUUUUGCCAUAAUGUUGUCUCUUUUUGUCAAUGAUAUUUUAUGAGUUGUGAAUUAUCAGCCUAGUUAAUAGAAAUGUAUUUGUACAUUUCUGGUUUAAAAGGGCUGAAUCAAAAAGAAUGAACAUUAACAGAAAGGGAUGUAUAUUGUGUAUACUUUUUUGUAGUGUUGUGUACAGAUUUUGAGACAAGCCUGACAGGAAGUUCUUAAUGGAUUUUAAAAGAAAUUUAAUGAAUGUACAUUAGUAGAAACUCGUAUAUCUUGUGAAUGUUUACUUAGUGUUGUGUACUAAUUUUAAGACAAGGUUAAAUAUGGAAUCUAAUUUGUUUGUGACAUGUAAGUUAGUGAGAAUUAAUAAAAAAAUUUAUAAAGGUA